GGAUCGAGAGGCGCGUGGUGGGACGCGCGCCGAGAAUGGAUCCGAUUGUCUGUCAUCACUGACGCACGCGAUACCGUGGCCCCCGACGGUAUGGACGUG
rfam:Antarctobacter heliothermus strain SMS3 chromosome, complete genome.